CCCGGGGCGUCCUGAACCUCAGACGCAGACAUGUAACAUUGUGCCUUGUGCAGUGAACGGCGGUUGGUCCACGUGGUCAGUGACAUCAGCUGGUGCAUGUACAUUGACCUGUGGGAGUGGUCAGCAAACAGUCUCUAGGGACAGGACCUGCAGUAACCCGACCGCAGGCCACGGUGGAGCUCCCUGUCCCGGGGUGUCAACAGACACUCAGACACAGACAUGUAACAUUGUGCCUUGUGCAGUUGACGGCGCCUGGGCGACAUGGACCGUGGCGUCCACUGGACCUUGCUCACAGACCUGUGGGGG